GAUGAAGAACCGUAGCGAAAUGCGAUAAGUAGUGUGAAUUGCAGAAUUCAGUGAAUCAUCGAAUCUUUGAACGCACAUUGCGCCCUUUGGUAUUCCUUAGGGCAUGCCUGUUCGAGCGUCAUUUAAACCUUCAAGCCCUGCUUGGUGUUGGGUGCCUGUCCCGCCCCCACGCGUGGACUCACCUCAAAUCCAUUGGCGGCCCCCGCACGGCCACGAGCGCAGCAGAAACGCAAACUCGUGUGCCGGGCCGGGUGGCUCCCAGAAGCUACAUUCACCAUUUUGACCUCGGAUCAGGUAGGGAUACCCGCUGAACUUAAGCAUAUCAAUAAGCGGAGGA
rnacentral:misc_RNA from 1 species